rnacentral:tRNA from 1 species
GCCGGGGUAGCUCAGUUGGUAGAGCAACUGAUUCGUAAUCAGUAGGUCGGCGGUUCGACUCCGCUCCUCGGCACCA